GUGCAGUGAACUAAGUAGCGGCUUGAAGCCAUAACAUAUGAAUUUAUGUAAGUUUUUCGAGUGGUCAACUGGCGUGGCUGCACUGUUCUUCGCCACGCAUGCGCCGGUGGAAUGACCUGCAAAGAUCACCCGAAGAGACCUGUCGUGUAUGUUAAAGAUGGCCUUCUAUUUUUAUAGCUUCGUAUUUGCAGUGGUUUUUCUUGUGUCCCACCACGUUUGCAUCUCGCAGGAUACAACGCCUGGAGAAGAGUUCUGUACUCAUGCUAACAUAGGUCGUAUCGACCCCUGGGAGACGAGGUAUGAUGCCAUAAAUAACGAAGUUUGUCGCUGUAUCCUCGCCCAGGACGGAACUGGCACUCUCACUUACCAGCUAUACUGUGUUCCCAAACCUGUGGAAGGAUGACUAUACCGGAAGCGACGUAAAGUCGACAGGUCGGACGUUUUGGAGGAAUGGCAGUGACGAAAUGUAAUGCUUGCGAUGAAAUUAUAUGUUUACAAUAAUUUAAUAAGGUUUGAUUUAAAUUAAUUAAGGAAAUUGUACAUUAAUAUUGUUAGGGCACACUGGGGUAGAUGGUUCUUUCUAAAGUCUCACUUAACGGUGAAUUUCAAAGGUUUAUGAUCUCAAACAUAAAGUGUAUACAUCCUGAUGACUGUGUCACGAUUUCCUGUUCUUUAUAUACGUGUGUAUAAUUCAAUUUUAAUAUAGGAACUACAGUUUGAACAAACAGUGAUCAGAUGGGUUAAUGUCAUUGCUCUCAAUCGAAAUCGGAAGGCCCUGGAACAAACCCGAUCAGGUUGCAAUGAUGACUUAAAAACAGCACUUGUUAUUGCUUCCGUUGAACACUGAGAGGUUAGAGCAAAGAAACGGCACUGAGUGGGUCGGUGUCAGUUUUACGUCACUGGGUGGGGUGUCAUGUCUGGUUUCUUCGGCGUGAUGUUUCAACGGCGGCAGCAAAAAAAAAAAGACAAACAUUGUUCCCCGAAACUGAGCGGUGAAAAUUGGUUUGGACAGGCUACUGUUGGUCUCUCAUGAUGGCUUUCUUGGUACUAUUAAAGGGUUAGUGUCCAGAUUUAGCUACUGGCAAUAUUUAUUUAUUUAUUUAUGUAUUUGAUUUCGUGUUUUAUGAAGUACUCAAGAAUAUUUCACUUAUACGACGGCGGGCAGCGUUAUGGUAGGAGGAAAACGGACGCAGCCCUGGGGAAACCCACAACAAUCCGCAGGUUGCUGUAAGACCUCCCACGUACGACCGGAGAAGAAACCAGCACCAAUUAUGAAGAUUAAUACCUGUUUUAACAGUAUGUUAUCGGGAGGGCUUCGGAGAUACGUAAUAAUGACUUUAAAUCCACCAAAGACAAUAGAUUUACUGUCUUAACCUGUUAUAGCCGGCCGACUUGUGCGGCUAGAUCGACACCAAAAAUGGCAAACCUAUGUCUAGGUGGGCUAAAUAAUCUGAGAAUUCGUAGCAAACCGAUGUCAUUUUCGAGAUAUAUGUUUGCUGCACAGAUAAAAAUAUACUGCCACACUGAUUUGAAAACAUAGUGGACGACGUGAGAGUUCCAAUUUAUGACUCUGACAUCCUUGACAAGACUUUAGAUUCCGAGGUUACAAACGUUGAUUUUUAUCUUGACUUGUCCAGGCUUUUCAGACCACGCUGACAACACGGAGUGGUAAGCUAUAAAUUUAUCCUAUGUUAUACUCCGCACUUUGCGUGUUUGUGUUAAGAUUUAAUAUUUAUUUACUAUUCUCACCAUCCGUUAACUUUACUAUAACUAUCAUUCUUUUCCCCAAGGGAUUUUAAAUAAAUACAUAUAUGCGAUGACAACUACGGGUACAUGGUAUUGUCGGCAUUCCAAUCAACACAUAUAGGGGUUUACAGUCGUGAUACAAUAAAAAACACAUGUACGAUAUGGACGUGGUCGUUAGUGUACAGAUAUCUACUAUCAGUUUACUAUCAAAAAUUUAUCAUGUGCCCUCUGCUUGAUGUAAAAUUUGUUCUGAGAAAUGCUUUCCCAGGGUUCUUAAGGGAAACAGUUAAAGUUAUUCUGAAAAAUUAUUUUUUCUAAUAGUGGAGGAAGUCAGAGCCCUAUAUAAAUCCAACUACCUUACAAAGUGUAAACAAAUCCACUUAAUGUACUUGCUCUUCAAACAGAGACACGGGCAAGCAUGCUGAAGUUGG